rnacentral:rRNA from 1 species
UGGGGAGGUAAAUUUCUCCUAAGGCUAAAUAUUGGCCAGAGACCGAUAGCGCACAAGUAGAGUGAUCGAAAGAUGAAAAGCACUUUGGAAAGAGAGUUAAAAAGCACGUGAAAUUGUUGAAAGGGAAGGGAUUGCAACCAGACUUGCUCGCGGUGUUCCGCCGGUCUUCUGACCGGUUCACUCGCCGCGUUGCAGGCCAGCAUCGUCUGGUGCCGCUGGAUAAGACUGGAGGAAUGUAGCUUCGAUGA